rnacentral:rRNA from 1 species
AACGUACGCUGGCGGCACGCCUAACACAUGCAAGUCGAACGAAGUAGCAAUACUUAGUGGCAGACGGGUGAGUAACAUGUAGGUAUCUGCCCUUUGGCCUGGAAUAACACGAGGAAACUUGUGCUAAUACCGGAUAAGUCUUUACGGAGAAAGCUUUAUGCACCAUUGGAUGAGCCUGCACUUGAUUAGUUUGUUGGUGGGGUAAUGGCCUACCAAGACUGUGAUCAAUAGCUGAUUUGAGAGGAUGAUCAGCCACAUUGGGACUGAGACACGGCCCAAACUCCUACGGGAGGCAGCAGUGGGGAAUCUUGCACAAUGGAGGAAACUCUGAUGCAGCGAUGCCGCGUGAGUGAAGAAGGCCCUUGGGUUGUAAAGCUCUUUCGUCGGGGAAGAAAAUGACUGUACCCGAAUAAGAAGGUCCGGCUAACUUCGUGCCAGCAGCCGCGGUAAUACGAAGGGACCUAGCGUAGUUCGGAAUUACUGGGCUUAAAGAGUUCGUAGGUGGUUGAAAAAGUUAGUGGUGAGAUCCCAGAGCUUAACUCUGGAACUGCCAUUAAAACUUUUCAGCUAGAGUAUGAUAGAGGAAAGCAGAAUUUCUAGUGUAGAGGUGAAAUUCGUAGAUAUUAGAAAGAAUACCAAUUGCGAAGGCAGCUUUCUGGAUCAUUACUGACACUGAGGAACGAAAGCAUGGGUAGCGAAGAGGAUUAGAUACCCUCGUAGUCCAUGCCGUAAACGAUGUGUGUUAGACGUUGGAAAUUUAUUUUCAGUGUCGCAGGGAAACCGAUAAACACACCGCCUGGGGAGUACGACCGCAAGGUUAAAACUCAAAUGAAUUGACGGGGACCCGCACAAGUAGUGGAGCAUGUGGUUUAAUUCGAAGAUACGCGCAGAACCUUACCAACACUUGACAUGUUCGUCGCGACUCUAAGAGAUUAGAGUUUUCGGUUCGGCCGGACGAAACACAGGUGCUGCAUGGCUGUCGUCAGCUCGUGUCGUGAGAUGUUGGGUUAAGUCCCGCAACGAGCGCAACCCUCACUUUUAGUUGCCAUCAUUAAGUUGGGCACUCUGAAAGAACUGCCAGUGAUAAGCUGGAGGAAGGUGGGGAUGACGUCAAGUCCUCAUGGCCCUUACGUGUUGGGCUACACACGUGCUACAAUGGUAUCUACAACAGGAAGCAAGACUGCGAAGUUAAGCAAAUCCCUAAAAGAUACCUCAGUUCGGAUUGCACUCUGCAACUCGAGUGCAUGAAGCUGGAAUUACUAGUAAUCGUGGAUCAGCGUGCCACGGUGAAUGCGUUCCCGGGUCU